UUUUAUGGAGAGUUUGAUCCUGGCUCAGGAUGAACGCUGGCGGCGUGCCUAAUACAUGCAAGUCGAGCGAACGGACGAGAAGCUUGCUUCUCUGAUGUUAGCGGCGGACGGGUGAGUAACACGUGGAUAACCUACCUAUAAGACUGGGAUAACUUCGGGAAACCGGAGCUAAUACCGGAUAAUAUUUUGAACCGCAUGGUUCAAAAGUGAAAGACGGUCUUGCUGUCACUUAUAGAUGGAUCCGCGCUGCAUUAGCUAGUUGGUAAGGUAACGGCUUACCAAGGCAACGAUGCAUAGCCGACCUGAGAGGGUGAUCGGCCACACUGGAACUGAGACACGGUCCAGACUCCUACGGGAGGCAGCAGUAGGGAAUCUUCCGCAAUGGGCGAAAGCCUGACGGAGCAACGCCGCGUGAGUGAUGAAGGUCUUCGGAUCGUAAAACUCUGUUAUUAGGGAAGAACAUAUGUGUAAGUAACUGUGCACAUCUUGACGGUACCUAAUCAGAAAGCCACGGCUAACUACGUGCCAGCAGCCGCGGUAAUACGUAGGUGGCAAGCGUUAUCCGGAAUUAUUGGGCGUAAAGCGCGCGUAGGCGGUUUUUUAAGUCUGAUGUGAAAGCCCACGGCUCAACCGUGGAGGGUCAUUGGAAACUGGAAAACUUGAGUGCAGAAGAGGAAAGUGGAAUUCCAUGUGUAGCGGUGAAAUGCGCAGAGAUAUGGAGGAACACCAGUGGCGAAGGCGACUUUCUGGUCUGUAACUGACGCUGAUGUGCGAAAGCGUGGGGAUCAAACAGGAUUAGAUACCCUGGUAGUCCACGCCGUAAACGAUGAGUGCUAAGUGUUAGGGGGUUUCCGCCCCUUAGUGCUGCAGCUAACGCAUUAAGCACUCCGCCUGGGGAGUACGACCGCAAGGUUGAAACUCAAAGGAAUUGACGGGGACCCGCACAAGCGGUGGAGCAUGUGGUUUAAUUCGAAGCAACGCGAAGAACCUUACCAAAUCUUGACAUCCUUUGACAAAUCUAGAGAUAGAGCCUUCCCCUUCGGGGGACAAAGUGACAGGUGGUGCAUGGUUGUCGUCAGCUCGUGUCGUGAGAUGUUGGGUUAAGUCCCGCAACGAGCGCAACCCUUAAGCUUAGUUGCCAUCAUUAAG
rnacentral:rRNA from 1 species